CUUCUUUGCUGGCGACCGGCGCACGGGUGAGUAACACGUAUCCAACCUGCCUUUACUCGGGGAUAGCCUUUCGAAAGAAAGAUUAAUACCCGAUAGCAUAAUGAUUCCGCAUGGUUUCAUUAUUAAAGGAUUCCGGUAAAGGAUGGGGAUGCGUUCCAUUAGGUUGUUGGUGGGGUAACGGCCCACCAAGCCUUCGAUGGAUAGGGGUUCUGAGAGGAAGGUCCCCCACAUUGGAACUGAGACACGGUCCAA
rnacentral:rRNA from 1 species